AGAGUUUGAUCCUGGCUCAGGACGAACGCUGGCGGCGUGCUUAACACAUGCAAGUCGAACGGAAAGGCCCUUCGGGGUACUCGAGUGGCGAACGGGUGAGUAACACGUGGGUGAUCUGCCCUGCACUUUGGGAUAAGCCUGGGAAACUGGGUCUAAUACCGAAUAUGACCAUGCGCCUCCUGGUGUGUGGUGGAAAGCUUUUGCGGUGUGGGAUGGGCCCGCGGCCUAUCAGCUUGUUGGUGGGGUAAUGGCCUACCAAGGCGACGACGGGUAGCCGGCCUGAGAGGGUGACCGGCCACACUGGGACUGAGAUACGGCCCAGACUCCUACGGGAGGCAGCAGUGGGGAAUAUUGCACAAUGGGCGCAAGCCUGAUGCAGCGACGCCGCGUGAGGGAUGACGGCCUUCGGGUUGUAAACCUCUUUCAGCACAGACGAAGCGCAAGUGACGGUAUGUGCAGAAGAAGGACCGGCCAACUACGUGCCAGCAGCCGCGGUAAUACGUAGGGUCCGAGCGUUGUCCGGAAUUACUGGGCGUAAAGAGCUCGUAGGUGGUUUGUCGCGUUGUUCGUGAAAACUCACAGCUUAACUGUGGGCGUGCGGGCGAUACGGGCAGACUUGAGUACUGCAGGGGAGACUGGAAUUCCUGGUGUAGCGGUGGAAUGCGCAGAUAUCAGGAGGAACACCGGUGGCGAAGGCGGGUCUCUGGGCAGUAACUGACGCUGAGGAGCGAAAGCGUGGGGAGCGAAUAGGAUUAGAUACCCUGGUAGUCC
rnacentral:rRNA from 1 species